rnacentral:rRNA from 1 species
GACGAACGCUGGCGGCGUGCUUAACACAUGCAAGUCGAACGGAGUGGCGAACGGGUGAGUAACGCGUAAUCAACCUGCCCUUCAGAGGGGGACAACAGUUGGAAACGACUGCUAAUACCGCAUACUGAAGGAGGGGAUUUCGUCUGAUUAGGCAGUUGGAGGGGUAACGGCCCACCAAGGCGCGGAUCAGUAGGCGGGCUGGGAGGGUGAACCGCCAAAAUUGGACUGGGGAACGGGCCAGAAUCCCACGGGAGGGAGCAGUGGGGAAUCUUUCGAAAUGGAGGAAAGUCUGACGGAGCAACGGCGCGUGAGGGAAGAAGGGCUUCGGGUUGGUAAAGUCUGUUAAUCGGGACGCGGUACCGGAAUAGAAAGCAACGGCUAACUACGUGCCAGCAGCCGCGGUAAUUC